CCUUAACCUGCUAAAUAGUUGCGUCCACUUUGGUGGUCGAUCAGCUUCUUAGAGGGACUGUGUGCGUUUAGCGCAUGGAAGUUUGAGGCAAUAACAGGUCUGUGAUGCCCUUAGAUGUUCUGGGCCGCACGCGCGCUACACUGACAAAGGCAGCGAGUAUUCACCUUGACCGGAAGGUCUGGGUAAUCUUCUGAAACUUUGUCGUGCUGGGGAUAGUCCCUUGCAAUUAUUGGACUUCAACGAGGAAUUCCUAGUAAGCGCAUGUCAUCAGCAUGCGUUGAUUACGUCCCUGCCCUUUGUACACACCGCCCGUCGCUACUACCGAUUGAAUGGCUUAGUGAGACCUCCGGAUUAGCGCCCCUUUGACGGCAACGUCGAAAGAGUGUUGAGAAGCUGGUCAAACUUGGUCAUUUAGAGGAAGUAAAAGUCG
rnacentral:rRNA from 1 species